CAGCGCUGGCUGUUUUACGCGUAUGACAGGCUCCGGAAGACGGUUGUUGCGCACGUAUUCGGUGAACGCACUAUGGCGACGCUGGGGCGUCUUAUGAGCCUGCUGUCAC
rnacentral:rRNA from 1 species